CAAAGAGUAUAUAAAGGCUGGUCCUCAAACCAGUGCAAGUUAUUUCUCAAGUUCCAAAGCUACAAACAGCACAAGCACUAGGACACAUUGACUCCUAAACUUCAUAACAACAGUGAAAGUUAGAGCCACCAAGAUGCGUCUCCUCUUCAUCCUGAUCGUCGCGUGCAGCCUCCUGGGAACCGCUCUCUCGCUGCCUCAGUUUAGGGAACAGAGGAAUGAUGCUGCUCCUAAUUUCUUUUUCCGACCGUUCUUCAGCAGAAACCAGCGCUACAGGCCACUCCGCCGCCAAACCUACGUCAUGGAUGAUUUCUUGGGAGGCAGAUAAGAAGGCCAAAGGAUGAGUCUAGUCUGCUGAGGAGAUGAGUCUGAUCCGUCAAGAUGAUGAGUCUGAUCUGCUGAGGAAAUGGCGUUGAUCGUCUGCCAAGGAGACUCAGAUAUACUCGCUUUUGUAAAUGUGAUAUUUAUAUACACCAUUGUUAGGGACAUGCGAUUUGUUUUCUCCUAAUAUAUAUUAGAUAUGCUUUACAUUUUCUAUUAAAGUGUUGAAUAAA